rnacentral:lncRNA from 1 species
UUCCAGAAGGUGAUUAAUGGUUGACCUCUGGGGGCUGGGAACUCUCCCGGGGAGUAUUCUUUCUAGUCUGGUGCAAAGCUUGGACCAUCUACUUCUCUGCUCUCUGGUGGAGGUGAAUAUUGUAGUUGAGGAUGCAGAGAUAAAGCACCCCAUCCCCUGACCUCCUAAAUCCUGAAGUCAACCCAGGAAGCACCCUGUGAAAACCAUGCUCCAGCCUUGAGCAGAGGCAGGCUAAUCCAAGAAACUCAAGGGCAGACAAAAGAAAACAAGGGAAGCCAAGGGAAUGAGUGAAAGACUAUAUAAGUUGGUUCAUUCUUGCUGGAUAAAUGGCACCCACUCACCAAAGGGAGAAGGUACAAAAAAGAAUUCAGCGAGGCAAGAAGCAGGUAGUUAGAACCAGGAAAUCGUAUCUCCGAUGGCACACCCUAACACCAUCAGAACGUCCCACAGCUGCACCAAGACCCAAAAUACUCCAUGAAGAAAUGUCAUUGUGGAUGAG